CAGCAAAGAAUGAAGGAGAGACUUCAGAGCUUGCUGAAGCAGAGGGAGUUGGUCACACAGCAAAAACAUUUGGCAAUAAAGCUGCAGUAUCAUUUGACUGUCUCCCAGAUGAGGUCAGAAAAUCUCCAAUAUGACCUGGAACAAUCCACAGCUCAGGAUGAGAGCCUUCUGCCAACAGAGCUGCUGCAGCAGGAGCACUAAGUGUCAUAAGCAACACCCUUUAUGAGAACCGAGAAGGAUGAAGGAAUCCAUAGGCAACCAGAACCUUUGACAUUCUCCACUCUAUGAUCAAGGCCUUCUCAGAACAAGACAUGUACUACUAGUUGUAAAAUCACCGGUGAGGCAAAUAUCAUCUGCCCUGCUGUGGUCCAUCCAUAAUCUGAUCCAUGUGUCUGCUGACUCACUAGUUACAGAGAAACCA